rnacentral:tRNA from 1 species
GGGGCUGUAGCUCAGUGGUCAGAGCGCCUGCUUUGCAAGCAGGAUGCCAGGGGUUCGACUCCCCUCAGCUCCACCA